ensembl:lncRNA
UGCUCUCUUAGAAUCCAGGGGUUGGGGGAAGAAAGUGUUGAGAGGUAGAAAGUAGCUCAAAAGCAAGAUGAGAAUGUGAUUUUAAAGUAGCUUUAAAAAAUUGGAGUUCCUGUUUCGGCUCAGCAGGUUAAGAACCUGACGUUGUCUCUCUGAGGACUUAGGUUGAUCCCCGGCCUCACUCAGUGGGUGAAGGAUCCAGGAUUGCUACAAGCUGUGGAGUAGGUGACAGAUGUGGCUUGGAGCCAGUGUUGCCAAGGCUGUGGUGUAGGCCUCAGCCACAGCUCCGUUUUGACCCCUGACUGCAAGUGCCGCCAUAAAAGGGGAAAAAAAAAAUCAUGAAGCCUUGAGAAUAGGCCUUUGGUGACCAGUGUGAAAGCAGGCGAGGAGAAAAAUCACCUUGUUUUGAGUACUGCACUCAACCAAAUUUAUAUCCUUUUAAAAAGGUUUGUUAGAGCAUCAACUAAUACAAAACAGUGUUGAGUAUGCCAGGUAAUUUAAGGGAUUAAAUUAGGUUUGAUUCUAGAAUGGUUUGCUGUGGUUGCUUAAACUUGCUGUAUGCUGUGUAGUUUGGAGGAUACAAUAGAACAAUAAUAGUUAACAUCCCUGUUCUUAGUUCAUCCUCAGUUACCCUAUGAAGUAAGGACUAUUGGGGCCACAUUUUACAUAAUAAACUGGCUCAUUGUGUGCCUUGUGUGAGAACAAAUAUCCCAUUUUACUUUUUAGUCUUCCUCAACUUACCCUCAGGCCUCGAUGGCAGAAAUAUUUGCCAAAUGUAUGUUAUUUAACGUAGAAAACACUCCCUCCUAGACUGCAGGCCGGUGAUGAAACGUGGGUGAGAAGCAGGUGAAUGAGCCCAGCCAGGCAAGCAGCUGAGCCUGCUUAUUAGGAGAUGUGAGAGCAUGCCCGCCUGAAAAACUCCCAUGGCUUUGCUCGAAUUCUCAUCCCUCCGAAAGUAGAGAAAGGGCGGGGUGAAGUAGACGCCUGCCUUUGCCUGAAGACGCAGUUGACUGAUGCUGUUGAAUGAUGAGCAGCAAGAGAAAUUGCUCCCUUUCAAAGUUGGGCAGGGGUGCCAAGCUCCUGUGGUACAAAGCUCAACGAGAAAGAAACAGACGUUUCAGAGGACUUCUGGAAAGAAUAUCUAAAUUCUUGCAGUGUCAGCAACGGUUCAAUGUGCUUAAUUUAAGAUAAAUCCUACUUACACAACUGUCUUGGCAGGUCCCUUUACGCAUGUUAAGAGAUGGAGGAAUAUGUUACCUCGAGUUUUAUUUGACAGACUCUUCUCUAAAUUCUUCUGAAACACUUUGCUGACUGUGAUUUCAGUUGGAGCUGCUUUUAAAAGAGUGUCCUUUGAUUAUGAAAAGCUGGGUUUUGAGAGUGCUUCCUAAUGUAAGCGCUUUUAAGCACAGGUGUUUGGCUUUCCCGGUUUACAUCUGCGUGGCAUCAGGUGCAGCAGAGGCUGGCAUCCCCUUUUCAUGUUUUCACAGCCCUGCCUCAGGUCUGUGUUUCUGAGCCGUGGUUUAUAUUUUCAGCUUGGUGCGUGUUUACUCGCUAGUCUGCACGUGGCUUGUAGAAUUUAUCCAGUGAAUUUUAAGUGCUAGCCUUGUUUUUUUUUUUACCCUUCAUUUGCCACCCCACAUGAAGGAGUAUAGAGUCAUUUUAAUAUUAAUGAAAAAAAGUAGUUCAGAAGGCAUAUCUGCCAAAAACAUUGUACACUGCCUUACAAAGCCGAGUAAUGACACAUGUUUGCUAUUGAGGUGCUGUUUUCAGUGACACUUCUGUCAGUACUCGCCUCCACUGGCUGAGUAAUUGAGAGGGAAGUUUUUAUAUUUUUGACAAUUCAAAAAUUAAUUCCCUGAAGUCAGUUAAAGAAUCGAGAAGAAACUCACCUAUAUUCAAAGCACACCAGAAGGGUGUCUCAGAAGGAAUUUACAUUAAUCUGAUUUGGAAUCAGAAAGCAGAUUUAGAAUUUAAAAGCUGAAAAAGACCGCCUCAGUCACUCUGCCUGAUGGAUCUACUUGACUUUUUUGUUUUUUCCUGCUGGAAGCAAUACAUGCUCAUUGUAGAAAGUUAGAAAACCCCACAAGGCCCAAAGAAGGGCAUGGAGAACGAGAUACCCCCGGGAACCACGGGCGCUCAGACUUGGGGGUGACAGAAUAUAUUCUUUCGUUUUAAAGAAAAUAGAGUGACUCCACUUUCUGAGUUGGGAAGUUUGGGCUUUUUUCAUGACCCCGUUAGGACUUAAAAAGAAUGUCAUUCUGAAGCCUUAAAAACUCCCCUCCUUUUCUUCUUCAAGAAGGGGGAUUUUAUAAGUGAGCUGGGAAGUUUUCUUUUGGCGUUUUUCAUGACCCUGUUCGUACUUAACAAAAUGUCAUUCUGAAGCCUUAAAAAACUCCCUUCCUUUUCUUCUUCAAGAAGGGUGAAUUACACGUAGGCUAUUUAACAUUUUUCAUUCUGUCAGCGUGUUUGGAUGCCAAAUGGCUCUUCUGAGUCAUUUUUGAAGGUGUGUUUUCUUGACACUUUGCCAGGAAAAUCAUAACUCUUAGAAUGCUCCAUAGCCCUGACCAUUCAGUCGGAUUUAUGGAUAGAUACUAUGUCCCAUGUUUUGUUGUUUUCUCACAAUUUUAGUGUCUGGGAUUAAUGCCAAAGGCUCUUCAGCCUCCCUCCAUUUAUUAGAGUCUACAGCUAAGUUUGCACAGUAGGGUUUGGAGGGCGAAAGGACCUUACUGGUUUAGCCUUCUAUUGAGGUAUCUUGGCCUCGGUGAAAAAGCAAAGUGUUUCUACAGUUCCUCAGAAAGAGAGGAUCACGGUUAGUGGCAUUUAUGACCCAGCCCCGGAGCCACAGGAGCUUAGGUGUUCCUGAAGAGCUCCUUGCCUUAUUCCGCACCUUCUUCCCUCCUGCUGCCGGUGAUGUUUCGUCCCCUGAAAUCCAAAUCUGUGACUUGCCUCCUUCACGUCUCGUGGUCCUCAGUCUUGUCCUCCAGCAUUAAUUCCAGACUCUGUCGAAUGACAAACAGACCGUCUGUGACGUGACUGCCAACCUCAUUCUUUCUUGUAGGGCCGCCUCUGCAGCAGAUGGAAGUUCCCAGGCUAGGGAUCAAAUUGGAGCUGCGGCUGCUGGCCUACAGCACAGCCACAGCAGAUCCAAGCUGCAUCGGCGACCUACACCACAGCUCACAGCCACACCAGAUCCUUAGGCCACUGAGUGAGGCGGGGAUCGAACCCACAACCUCAUGGAUACUAGUUGGGUUCGUUGCUGCUGAGCCACAACGGGAACUCCAAAGCAACCUCAUUCUUAAAUCCUUUCGUCACAUCAUUUCUCAAAAAUGUCACCGCUUUCAUGCCUGUCUUUUAUUCCUGCUCUCCCUCUUUGUGGCGUGCUCUACUGCGUGGUCUCGGUCAGCCUCACCUCCUCUGUGAAGUCUUGCCAUCCGGUCCCCCCUCUUCCCCCUGCCCCUCCCGUGUCCCCCGUCACCUACGCACACUUGUUUUACAGCAUCUGUAACACAUGGUUGCGCUUGUUUUCACAUGUGCCUCUCCUUGUCUUUUCCAGCUUUUUAGACUGCAAAUCCCACUCACCGUCUUUUGGGAGCCCUUUGUAGCUCUCCUCUUUGGGAGCAUUUUAAUCAAUAGCCUUUUGGCCAGCUGCCUGCCUCCACUCUCUGCCACCCCUUCAUUCCCUGUCCUCUCCAGGGCCCUGUAAGCUCAAUAAACAGUGGCUGGAUGUUUCAAAGGUCUGGUUGGGACUGGGUGAAACUAGCUUCAGGGCACAGUUAGCACUGGGGCUCAUUUAUUCCUAUAUCGAGGUUGCCUUGACCCCAGCACCAGAGGCUGUGAGAAACUAGACAAAAAAUCAGGUGCAGACAGCCAGAAAAGUCUCGGAACCAGAAAGGUAGUGUUGCCAGAUUUCCACCGGGGCUGCCAGGACCUGCGUGAGUAGGGUGUUCAGCAGUGUGUUACUGGGGCUUCCUUGGAGUCCUGGGUGGGUGUGGUCAUGAAGUCAGAAGCGCUGUCCAGGGACCACAAGGAGAAACAGAGUUCUCUGUUUGGAGCUGGGAGGGGUGUACAUUGUGGCCCAGAAAGGGCAACAGGGGUCUCUCGUCAAAAUGUAUUCCCUAGGAAUCUGAAAUUUAAAGAUACUGUGGUUCGUGUAUGAUUACUUGGAAUACAAAAUAAUUCCUUCCUUUUUCACAAUAUUAUCAAAUGAUUGUUUUGAGACAUCAUUUUAAAAAAUAAAUGUAAACAUUCAGACUGUAAUUCAAAUUGUUGAUCUCAUAGGUUAGAAGUGAUGGUUCAUUGUUACUUUAGUGUGUGUCUCCCUGCUUGCUAGUAGAAUUAAGCAAUUUUCAUGUUUUUUUUAUCAUUUAGAUUUGCUUUUCUGUAAAUGCCUUCUGUUCAUACAGCCUUUGCUCAUUUUACUAUGGAGUUUUUCUUCUUCCUAUAAAUUUGUAGGCCUUCAUUAUGUACUAUAGAUAUUAACCUUUGUCUUGUGCAUAACAAAUAUUUCACACAAUCUGUUGUUGUAAUGGUUUUCUUUUGUUUAUGGUAUGUUUAACUUAAACAUUUAAAAUAAAUGUCUCCUUUC